GAUGAACGCUAGCUACAGGCUUAACACAUGCAAGUCGAGGGGCAUCAGGAAGAAAGCUUGCUUUCUUUGCCGGCGACCGGCGCACGGGUGAGUAACACGUAUCCAACCUGCCCUUUACUCGGGGAUAGCCUUUCGAAAGAAAGAUUAAUACCCGAUAGCAUAAUGAUUCCGCAUGGUUUCAUUAUUAAAGGAUUCCGGUAAAGGAUGGGGAUGCGUUCCAUUAGGUUGUUGGUGGGGUAACGGCCCACCAAGCCUUCGAUGGAUAGGGGUUCUGAGAGGAAGGUCCCCCACAUUGGAACUGAGACACGGUCCAAACUCCUACGGGAGGCAGCAGUGAGGAAUAUUGGUCAAUGGGCGCUAGCCUGAACCAGCCAAGUAGCGUGAAGGAUGAAGGCUCUAUGGGUCGUAAACUUCUUUUAUAUAAGAAUAAAGUGCAGUAUGUAUACUGUUUUGUAUGUAUUAUAUGAAUAAGGAUCGGCUAACUCCGUGCCAGCAGCCGCGGUAAUACGGAGGAUCCGAGCGUUAUCCGGAUUUAUUGGGUUUAAAGGGAGCGUAGGUGGACUGGUAAGUCAGUUGUGAAAGUUUGCGGCUCAACCGUAAAAUUGCAGUUGAUACUGUCAGUCUUGAGUACAGUAGAGGUGGGCGGAAUUCGUGGUGUAGCGGUGAAAUGCUUAGAUAUCACGAAGAACUCCGAUUGCGAAGGCAGCUCACUGGACUGCAACUGACACUGAUGCUCGAAAGUGUGGGUAUCAAACAGGAUUAGAUACCCUGGUAGUCCACACAGUAAACGAUGAAUACUCGCUGUUUGCGAUAUACAGUAAGCGGCCAAGCGAAAGCAUUAAGUAUUCCACCUGGGGAGUACGCCGGCAACGGUGAAACUCAAAGGAAUUGACGGGGGCCCGCACAAGCGGAGGAACAUGUGGUUUAAUUCGAUGAUACGCGAGGAACCUUACCCGGGCUUAAAUUGCAGUGGAAUGAUGUGGAAACAUGUCAGUGAGCAAUCACCGCUGUGAAGGUGCUGCAUGGUUGUCGUCAGCUCGUGCCGUGAGGUGUCGGCUUAAGUGCCAUAACGAGCGCAACCCUUAUCUUCAGUUACUAACAGGUCAUGCUGAGGACUCUGGAGAGACUGCCGUCGUUAGAUGUGAGGAAGGUGGGGAUGACGUCAAAUCAGCACGGCCCUUACGUCCGGGGCUACACACGUGUUACAAUGGGGGGUACAGAAGGCAGCUAGCGGGUGACCGUAUGCUAAUCCCAAAAGCCUCUCUCAGUUCGGAUCGAAGUCUGCAACCCGACUUCGUGAAGCUGGAUUCGCUAGUAAUCGCGCAUCAGCCACGGCGCGGUGAAUACGUUCCUGGGCCU
rnacentral:rRNA from 1 species